UUGAAGAUAUUUUUUGACGAGGACGCAUUGACGCAGCUAGCGAGGUAAAACCGAGGUGCGGCGCGUCGUUUGCUGGUUGAAACUCGGCCCAAUACGGCCUUAGCGAUAAGCACCACAGGGGAGCCAAACAACGGCUGCCUCCUUUCUUUCUCUUUUUGCUGCUCCUUCACGGCCCUCUGAUUCUUUCAAACCACCCAUUCCAAAACCGUCCACCGUCAUGUUCCCCACUUCCCCCUUCCGUUGAUAUGUAUAUCAGAAGGUCAAGGAGAAACUGAGUCGCAGAACAGAGCGGCAGAAAGGGCGGUUUGCUCCCAUCUUCCCAAGUUCUUUAGUCCCUUUUUUGUUUCCCUAAUUUUGUGUGUGCCACAGGAAAGAAAAAAAAAAAAGGAUCAUGAGUAGGCAGCAGCUCUACAUGGUCAUGCUCUGCCUGGUUGGCCUUGUCAUCCUCGUGUCUGUCCUCUUCCACCAUCACCUCAUCCCUUCUCCUCCUUCUUCUUCAGUUGCCCAGAAUCCUCGGCUCAGAUCAAGAAGAAGGCUGACGGUUCUGCAAGGCAGUCUGAUGGCGGCUUCUGCAUCAUAACACUCCCCUUCUCUCUCUCUCUCUGUUUUAGCUUGCUUUCUUUUCAAUGUAGAAUUCAACAACAUGGUUUUGUACAUUGAAAAGAAAUAAUACGUAAAAAGGGAGUUUGGUGA